rnacentral:rRNA from 1 species
CACUCCUACGGGAGGCAGCAGUGGGGAAUUUUGGACAAUGGGCGAAAGCCUGAUCCAGCCAUGCCGCGUGCAGGAUGAAGGCCUUCGGGUUGUAAACUGCUUUUGUACGGAACGAAACGGCCUUUUCUAAUAAAGAGGGCUAAUGACGGUACCGUAAGAAUAAGCACCGGCUAACUACGUGCCAGCAGCCGCGGUAAUACGUAGGGUGCAAGCGUUAAUCGGAAUUACUGGGCGUAAAGCGUGCGCAGGCGGUUAUGUAAGACAGUUGUGAAAUCCCCGGGCUCAACCUGGGAACUGCAUCUGUGACUGCAUAGCUAGAGUACGGUAGAGGGGGAUGGAAUUCCGCGUGUAGCAGUGAAAUGCGUAGAUAUGCGGAGGAACACCGAUGGCGAAGGCAAUCCCCUGGACCUGUACUGACGCUCAUGCACGAAAGCGUGGGGAGCAAACAGGAUUAGAUACCCUGGUAGUCCCAUGA